rnacentral:sRNA from 1 species
CGGGCUGAUAAAAUGAAUAUGGGUGUCCAUACCGCCCGCAGUCAGGAUCCGUCCUUCACCUGCAAUCACUUCUGUACCCGCGCCUAUGAUAAGAUUCGGAUCCACUCCAUCCAUCAUAUCCGGAUUGCCGGCUUUGCCGAUGCCGCAAAUCUUCCCGUCCUUAAUUCCGAUGUCCGCCUUUACAAUUCCCCAGUAAUCUACAAUAACUGCGCUUGUGAUCACCGUAUCCGGACAAUCCUGAUCUCUGACUCUGCAGGACUGACCCAUGCCGUCACG